rnacentral:sRNA from 1 species
AUCAAAGAUUUAAGAAGCAAGAAGAAGCUUGGUUAGUGUUUUGGAGUCAAAUAUUACUAGAUGUCAUGUGUAAGAGUGAGUAUGACAACUAGUACCGCGACGGGAUCUUAAAAGCCUAAGUAUUGAAUCUUUGUUAGAAGAUACAAAGAGAAAGACUCAUACGGACUUCGGCUACACCAUCAAUGCUUUGAGAAGCAAGAAGAAGCUUUGUAAGUGUUUUGGAGUCGAAUAUGACUUGAUGUCAUGUGUAUGAUUGAGUAUAAGAACUUAAACCGCAACGAGAGCUUA